UAAAGACUGCAAACAUAACUCAGCUUCAUCAACAUCUUUCUGUACGUCUCACUUCCAGCUAACACGGCAGAGACUCUGACGUCAUUUCCUCCACAAAGAACUAAAGAGGUGGCCGUUUGUAUUUUCCUUCAGUUCACUUCCCCCUCCUGAAUCACAAUGAUCCCAGGCUUCUCCUGCUUCACGCUCUUUGUGCUUUUGGCUGCAGAUGUGUGUCAGUCGGUGCUCAUCACUCAGUGGCCUCACUACAUCUCCAGGCUUCCCAACGGUUCAGCAGAAAUGCACUGCUACCAGAACGAAACCAACUAUGAUUAUGUGUACUGGUACCGGCAGCAGAGAGGACAGGGUUUCCAGUUAAUGGCGUAUGUAGUAGCUGGCUUUGAAAACUAUGAAGAAGGGUUUAAAUCUGGUUACCAGGCAGUGAAAGUGAAGGAGAAGCAGCUGUGGUCCCUGAGCAUCAGCAGCGUUCAGGAGGAAGACGAGGCUGUUUAUCUGUGCGCUGCCAGUCUGCACAGUGCUGCCACAGACCUCAGGCCUGCACAAAAACUCACUGCCACACGAGAGGCUGCCCGACGAACAGCCAUCAUGUUCACAUACAGGAACUCACACACACUGUGGAGGAGAACAUAUCAGGGACUAGACGCAUGUGUUAAAUGGAAGUGAGGAAUGUGUGAAGGAAAGGGAAAAAACUGUUUAAAAUAAAAGGAUUAUUGAUUGUUUUGUGUUUUCCCGACUAACUGAGGUUGUGCAAAUUACUGUCCAGAAUCUUCA